AUCUAAGGUCGUACCAUUCUGAACACACCCUGAUCUCCUGUGAUCUCAGAAUCGGAAGCUAAUAAGCAGGGUCAGGCCUGGUUAGCAGUUGGUUGGGAGGGUUGUAAAGGACCUGGAGCCAGAGUUU
rnacentral:rRNA from 14 species